AUAUUAUUGCAGAAAGACUGUGAAUGGUGCUAAUAAUAUCCCAGAAGUUAUGAUUAGAGAUGCAGAGUCAGCAAUACAACGUCUUUCGGCUAUUGUUCGAGAAGCUAUUGAUCGCAAAAAAUCAGAGUCGUU